rnacentral:rRNA from 1 species
GCGUAAAGGGCUCGCAGGCGGUUUCUUAAGUCUGAUGUGAAAGCCCCCGGCUCAACCGGGGAGGGUCAUUGGAAACUGGGAAACUUGAGUGCAGAAGAGGAGAGUGGAAUUCCACGUGUAGCGGUGAAAUGCGUAGAGAUGUGGAGGAACACCAGUGGCGAAGGCGACUCUCUGGUCUGUAACUGACGCUGAGGAGCGAAAGCGUGGGGAGCGAACAGGAUUAGAUACCCUGGUAGUCCACGCCGUAAACGAUGAGUGCUAAGUGUUAGGGGGUUUCCGCCCCUUAGUGCUGCAGCUAACGCAUUAAGCACUCCGCCUGGGGAGUACGGUCGCAAGACUGAAACUCAAAGGAAUUGACGGGGGCCCGCACAAGCGGUGGAGCAUGUGGUUUAAUUCGAAGCAACGCGAAGAACCUUACCAGGUCUUGACAUCCUCUGACAACCCUAGAGAUAGGGCUUUCCCUUCGGGGACAGAGUGACAGGUGGUGCAUGGUUGUCGUCAGCUCGUGUCGUGAGAUGUUGGGUUAAGUCCCGCAACGAGCGCAACCCUUGAUCUUAGUUGCCAGCAUUCAGUUGGGCACUCUAAGGUGACUGCCGGUGACAAACCGGAGGAAGGUGGGGAUGACGUCAAAUCAUCAUGCCCCUUAUGACCUGGGCUACACACGUGCUACAAUGGACAGAACAAAGGGCUGCAAGACCGCAGGGUUUAGCCAAUCCCAUAAAUCUGUUCUCAGUUCGGAUCGCAGUCUGCAACUCGACUGCGUGAAGCUGGAAUCGCUAGUAAUCGCGGAUCAGCAUGCCGCGGUGAA